GACGAACGCUGGCGGCGUGCUUAACACAUGCAAGUCGAACGGAAAGGCCCUGCUUUUGUGGGGUGCUCGAGUGGCGAACGGGUGAGUAACACGUGAGUAACCUGCCCUUGACUUUGGGAUAACUUCAGACAACUGGGGCUAAUACCGGAUAGGAGCUCCUGCUGCAUGGUGGGGGUUGGAAAGUUUCGGCGGUUGGGGAUGGACUCGCGGCUUAUCAGCUUGUUGGUGGGGUAGUGGCUUACCAAGGCUUUGACGGGUAGCCGGCCUGAGAGGGUGACCGGCCACAUUGGGACUGAGAUACGGCCCAGACUCCUACGGGAGGCAGCAGUGGGGAAUAUUGCACAAUGGGCGGAAGCCUGAUGCAGCAACGCCGCGUGCGGGAUGACGGCCUUCGGGUUGUAAACCGCUUUCGCCUGUGACGAAGCGUGAGUGACGGUAAUGGGUAAAGAAGCACCGGCUAACUACGUG
rnacentral:rRNA from 1 species